GGGAUUAUAGUUAAUAAUAACAUUUGAAUUGCAAUCAAAAAGUAUUGAUAAUCAAUUUUUCUUA
rnacentral:tRNA from 1 species